GGGUAGCAAUACCUGAGUAAAGUGGCGCACGGGUGAGUAACACGUGACUAACCUACCCUGGAGUGGGGGAUAACUGAGGGAAACCUUAGCUAAUACCGCAUAAUACCCACGGGUCAAAGGAGCAAUUCGCUUCAGGAGGGGGUCGCGGCCGAUUAGUUAGUUGGCGGGGUAAUGGCCCACCAAGACGAUGAUCGGUAUCCGGCCUGAGAGGGCGCACGGACACACUGGAACUGAAACACGGUCCAGACUCCUACGGGAGGCAGCAGUGGGGAAUUUUGCGCAAUGGGGGAAACCCUGACGCAGCAACGCCGCGUGGAGGAUGAAGUACUUCGGUACGUAAACUCCUUUCGAUCGGGACGAUAAUGACGGUACCGAGAGAAGAAGCCCCGGCUAACUUCGUGCCAGCAGCCGCGGUAAUACGAGGGGGGCGAGCGUUGUUCGGAAUUAUUGGGCGUAAAGGGUGCGUAGGCGGUUUGGUAAGUCUGAUGUGAAAUCUAUGGGCUCAACUCAUAGUCUGCAUCGGAAACUGCCGGGCUUGAGUGUGGGAGAGGUGAGUGGAAUUUCCGGUGUAGCGGUGAAAUGCGUAGAUAUCGGAAGGAACACCUGUGGCGAAAGCGGCUCACUGGACCACAACUGACGCUGAUGCACGAAAGCUAGGGGAGCAAACAGGAUUAGAUACCCUGGUAGUCCUAGCCCUAAACGAUGACUGCUUGGUGUGACGGGU
rnacentral:rRNA from 1 species